UAUUACCUACGGGGGGCAGCAGUGGGGGAUAUUGCACAAUGGGGGAAACCCUGAUGCAGCGACGCCGCGUGGGCGAAGAAGUAUUUCGGUAUGUAAAGCCCUCUCAGCAGGGAAGAAAAUGACGGUACCUGAGUAAGAAGCCCCGGCUAACUACGUGCCAGCAGCCGCGGUAAUACGUAGGGGGCAAGCGUUAUCCGGAUUUACUGGGUGUAAAGGGAGCGUAGACGGCAGUGCAAGUCUGGAGUGAAAGGCGGGGGCUCAACCCCCGGACUGCUCUGGAAACUGUACGGCUGGAGUGCAGGGGG
rnacentral:rRNA from 1 species